UACGGAGGAUCCAAGCGUUAUCCGGAAUCAUUGGGUUUAAAGGGUCCGUAGGCGGUUUAGUAAGUCAGUGGUGAAAGCCCAUCGCUCAACGGUGGAACGGCCAUUGAUACUGUUAGACUUGAAUUAUUAGGAAGUAACUAGAAUAUGUAGUGUAGCGGUGAAAUGCUUAGAGAUUACAUGGAAUACCAAUUGCGAAGGCAGGUUACUACUAAUGGAUUGACGCUGAUGGACGAAAGCGUGGGUAGCGAACAGG
rnacentral:rRNA from 1 species